ACCUGCGGAAGGAUCAUUGUCGUGACCCUGACCAAAACAGACCGCGAACGCGUCAUCCAUGCCGCCGGGAGACGGGGCUCGCCUCGCCUCACGGCAUCGGCCGAUGACCUCCUCACGGAGGGCUUCGGCCACAAAAGAACCCACGGCGCCGGUUGGCGUCAAGGAACACUGAUAUUGCCUUGCCCAAGGCUGCGGCCGGCAUGCCGUUCGCGUCUUGAGCAGCGAUGCUAUCUCAAUCCACACGACUCUCGGCAACGGAUAUCUUGGCUCUUGCAUCGAUGAAGAACGUAGCAAAAUGCGAUACCUGGUGUGAAUUGCAGAAUCCCGUGAACCAUCGAGUUUUUGAACGCAAGUUGCGCCCGAGGCCUUCUGGCCGAGGGCACGUCUGCCUGGGCGUCACGCCAAAAGACACUCCCCACCCAUCUCGGUGCGGACGUGGCAUUUGGCUCCCCGUGCCACAUGGUGCGGUGGGCCGAAGUUGGGGCUGCCGGUGAAAGGUACCGGUCACAGCACAAGGUGGGUGACACAAGGUGUUCUCGCUGCCGUGACUCGGAUCCAUGACUGGCAAGCAAUGGCCCUCAUGACCCUUCGACCGUAGCGCACGCCGCUCGGACCGCGACCCCAGGUCAGGCGGGACUACCCGCUGAGUUUAAGCAUAUCAAUAAG
rnacentral:rRNA from 1 species